CGCGGUGUGGAGUAGCGGUAGCUCAUCGGUUUAGGGAACCGAAGACGCGGGUUCGAUCCCCGCCAUCGCAC
rnacentral:tRNA from 1 species